CAAUGAAUGCGAAACAAAUCCUUGUGACGUAAAUGCAAAUUGUACCAAUGUAGGUGGUUCGUAUGAAUGUAACUGCCACGAGGGCUAUGAAGGCAAUGGCACUAGCUGUACAGACAUUGAUGAAUGUAAUGGCGAUAAUGAUUGCUCGUCAGACGCUGUUUGUCAAAAUACCAUCGGAAGUUAUAAGUGUGUUUGCAAUGCUGGAUAUACAGGAAAUGGACAGCUUUGCGAGGAUAUAGAUGAAUGUACAGAGUCACCUCAGAAAUGCACUGGCCAAGGUCAAUCAUGUACCAACCAUCUAGGAACAUACAACUGUUACUGUACAAAUCCUCAGCAACAACUUAUUCGUGGUGAAUGUAUUGGUAAUGAAGUCUCUGUCCAAGGUCGAUUGUUGAUCAUAAAUCAACCAUACGUUCCAGCCUUCGAUGACACACAAAGCUCAGAUUACAUAACCUUUACUACGACAUUAACA